rnacentral:misc_RNA from 1 species
GUAUUAAAUGCGCGAUUAAGCACAAGUACAUUCCAUUACAUUCAGAGUGUGUGUAAAUACCCCAGGGCUCAAGUCAACCAAAGGCCAACCGACUGCACAUGUUACCACAUGCGAACCCCAAAGUCUAAAGUGCACAGGUGUGUGGAUUUGCAACCGCCGUGCACAUGCAUUGCUGCCAGCACAGACGAUCGACUUGUAAUUCAUUAAUGAUCCUUCCGCAGGUUCACCUACGGAAA